GAAUCAUUUUGAUGCUGGUAGAUAAACCCAGAGAAAUGAGCGCCCUGACCAGAGUUAUACAACUCCUUUUUGAGCGACCACCAGCGAAAUUCUG